rnacentral:rRNA from 1 species
AACGAACGCUGGCGGCAGGCUUAACACAUGCAAGUCGAGCGCAUCCUUCGGGGUGAGCGGCAGACGGGUGAGUAACGCGUGGGAACGUACCCUUUCCUACGGAAUAGCUCCGGGAAACUGGAAUUAAUACCGUAUACGCCCUUAGGGGGAAAGAUUUAUCGGGGAAGGAUCGGCCCGCGUUGGAUUAGCUAGUUGGUGGGUAAAGGCCUACCAAGGCGACGAUCCAUAGCUGGUCUGAGAGGAUGAUCAGCCACAUUGGGACUGAGACACGGCCCAAACUCCUACGGGAGGCAGCAGUGGGGAAUAUUGGACAAUGGGCGCAAGCCUGAUCCAGCCAUGCCGCGUGAGUGAUGAAGGCCUUAGGGUUGUAAAGCUCUUUCGGUAGGGAAGAUAAUGACGGUACCUACAGAAGAAGCCCCGGCUAACUUCGUGCCAGCAGCCGCAGUAA